rnacentral:rRNA from 1 species
GGGUAAAGCUCAAGUUUAAAACCUGUUUGUCCUAGACAAACCGGAUUGUAAACUAAGGACGUGCUAUCCAGGCUCUUUGGACCUUCAAGUCCUUUGGAAUAAGGCUUCACAGAGGGUGACAAUCCCGUAGAGGGUCUUGAAAGAGUCUAUUGCGAUGCAUGCUCCAAGAGUCAGGUUGUUUGGGAAUGCAGCCUAAAGUGGGAGGUAAAUCCCUCCUAAAGCUAAAUAUUGGCGAGAGACCGAUAGCAAACAAGUACCGUGAGGGAAAGUUGAAAAGGACUUUGAAAAGAGAGUCAAAAGUACGUGAAAUUGCUUAAAGGGAAGCGUUUGGAGCUAGUUUGGCUAGUCUGUUAUCAGCCUGAGCUUCGGCUUUGGUGUACUAUCAGGCUAUUUGCCGGCCAACUUUCAGGAUUGGAAGGAAAGCUUAGUGCUUUGGAGUCUAAAGAGACCUUUGCGGAAGCCUCUGGUGGAGCGUUGGUCUGCCUUGGCCCUUCUGAACCUAUAGUUGGCUUAAUGGCUCUAAACGGCCCGUCUUG